AGAGUUUGAUCAUGGCUCAGAUUGAACGCUGGCGGCAGGCCUAACACAUGCAAGUCGAACGGUAACAGGAAGCAGCUUGCUGCUUCGCUGACGAGUGGUGGACGGGUGAGUAAUGUCUGGGAAGCUGCCUGAUGGAGGGGGAUAACUACUGGAAACGGUAGCUAAUACCGCAUAAUGUCGCAAGACCAAAGAGGGGGACCUUCGGGCCUCUUGCCAUCGGAUGUGCCCAGAUGGGAUUAGCUUGUUGGUGGGGUAACGGCUCACCAAGGCGACGAUCCCUAGCUGGUCUGAGAGGAUGACCAGCCACACUGGAACUGAGAUACGGUCCAGACUCCUACGGGAGGCAGCAGUGGGGAAUAUUGCACAAUGGGCGCAAGCCUGAUGCAGCCAUGCCGCGUGUAUGAAGAAGGCCUUCGGGUUGUAAAGUACUUUCAGCGGGGAGGAAGGGAGUAAAGUUAAUACCUUUGCUCAUUGACGUUACCCGCAGAAGAAGCACCGGCUAACUCCGUGCCAGCAGCCGCGGUAAUACGGAGGGUGCAAGCGUUAAUCGGAAUUACUGGGCGUAAAGCGCACGCAGGCGGUUUGUUAAGUCAGAUGUGAAAUCCCCGGGCUCAACCUGGGAACUGCAUCUGAUACUGGCAAGCUUGAGUCUCGUAGAGGGGGGUAGAAUUCCAGGUGUAGCGGUGAAAUGCGUAGAGAUCUGGAGGAAUACCGGUGGCGAAGGCGGCCCCCUGGACGAAGACUGACGCUCAGGUGCGAAAGCGUGGGGAGCAAACAGGAUUAGAUACCCUGGUAGUCCACGCCGUAAACGAUGUCGACUUGGAGGUUGUGCCCUUGAGGCGUGGCUUCCGGAGCUAACGCGUUAAGUCGACCGCCUGGGGAGUACGGCCGCAAGGUUAAAACUCAAAUGAAUUGACGGGGGCCCGCACAAGCGGUGGAGCAUGUGGUUUAAUUCGAUGCAACGCGAAGAACCUUACCUGGUCUUGACAUCCACGGAAGUUUUCAGAGAUGAGAAUGUGCCUUCGGGAACCGUGAGACAGGUGCUGCAUGGCUGUCGUCAGCUCGUGUUGUGAAAUGUUGGGUUAAGUCCCGCAACGAGCGCAACCCUUAUCUUUUGUUGCCAGCGGUCCGGCCGGGAACUCAAAGGAGACUGCCAGUGAUAAACUGGAGGAAGGUGGGGAUGACGUCAAGUCAUCAUGGACCUUACGACCGGGGCUACACACGUGCUAC
rnacentral:rRNA from 1 species